rnacentral:piRNA from 1 species
CCCCAGAGGACAUUGUCCUGUUCC